UUUAUAACUCCGCCUGUAGCUCUUAUAGGGUUGCUGCCGGUCCCAAGCCCGGGUAAAGGAGGAGGGUUGG
rfam:Schistosoma haematobium scaffold16_14, whole genome shotgun sequence.